rnacentral:rRNA from 1 species
AUUGAACGCUGGCGGCAGGCUUAACACAUGCAAGUCGAGCGGAGAGAGGUAGCUUGCUACUGAUCUUAGCGGCGGACGGGUGAGUAAUGCUUAGGAAUCUGCCUAUUGGUGGGGGACAACAUUUCGAAAGGAAUGCUAAUACCGCAUACGUCCUACGGGAGAAAGCAGGGGAUCUUCGGACCUUGCGCUAAUAGAUGAGCCCAAGUCGGAUGAGCUAGUUGGGGGGGUAAAGGCCUACCAAGGCGACGACCUGUAGCGGGUCUGAGAGGAUGAUCCGCCACACUGGGACUGAGACACGGCCCAGACUCCUACGGGAGGCAGCAGUGGGGAAUAUUGGACAAUGGGCGGAAGCCUGAUCCAGCCAUGCCGCGUGUGUGAAGAAGGCCUUAUGGUUGUAAAGCACUUUAAGCGAGGAGGAGGCUACUUUAGUUAAUACCUAGAGAUAGUGGACGUUACUCGCAGAAUAAGCACCGGCUAACUCUGUGCCAGCCGCCGCGGUAA